GCUCUAUAUAAACCCACUCUCCCCCCACAAAGAUGAUCACAAGAGCUUCCUAAUCAGAGAAAGAAGAAGCUCAAUCACAAAGCGCUAAGGAUGUCUACAACAUGCAAAGGAAAGAGCUCAUGGCCGGAGCUGGUGGGUAAGGAAGGCAAAGAAGCAGAGAGGAUUAUCGAGAAGGAGAAUCCUUUGGUGGAUGCCAUUAUUGUGGAUGAAGGAUCAAGUGUGAUUCAAGACUUUAGGUGCGACAGGGUUUGGGUUUGGGUGACUGUGAAAACAGGCAUCGUCACCAGGACUCCUUUCAUUGGUUAACCAUUUUAAUCAUAAUAUUGUGUGCUUCCAAAUAUAUAAAUCCCAUCCAUGUUUGUUCCCACAACAUGAAUAUUCAAUAAGGUGAUUCUAUCUUUCUUCUUCUUCUUUUUUUUUCUUAUUAAUGUACUCAUCGUGUUUGUGGUAAUAAAAAUACUGCAAUUUCAUUUUCCGUUUAUGCA